rnacentral:lncRNA from 1 species
UGUAGCAUGUAGUUUUCAUGCUCCAAAGUGUGCUUCCUGAUGUUAAAUUCCAGACUUGUGUUAAUUUCACUAAGUCUGAAACCUGUUGUCAUUUGCACUUUUGCCAUGCUUGUUUGAACCUCUUAAUGGAUGAAUUAGCCGUAGCUCAGUGUUCAUAUUUUGUCAAGCAUCAUGAUUAGAUCCCUUCCAUGUAUUUUGUUGUCAUGUUUGAGUGCUUUAGCAUAUUUAUCUUGAUGCAUUUAGAUGACUAUUUGCUGAUUAUCGCAGACCGGUGCCAUAUUUGUUUUGCUUGCCAUUUCCAAACCGUGCAUCCGAGUCCGGUGAUCUUUAUAUCGAUUUCAACCGAAAUCACCUCACCUUUCUAGUGGCACUCUUGGAUUUCCAAGUUGUGGCCAGGUUCAAUCAUUCCUUGUUAAAUCUUGCAUAUGCAUCACAUAUCGCAUCCCGCAUAGCAUACCAUGUUCGCAUCAUGUUGUUUGAGCAUUGCACGUGGUUGAUUGUGUUCCUUUUGCUUGUUUGUAUUGUUUGGGUAGAGCCGGGAGACGAGUUCGAGAACGAGGAGCCCGUUGAGUUUGCUUACGAGGAUCAAGUCAACUCUGACAACUUUGCAGGCAAGAUGAUCACACCCUCGAAAUCACUUCUAUCUUUGCUUGCUAGAUGCUCGCUCUUUUGCUAUGCCUAUGCUACGAUGCCUACCACUUGCUUAUCAUGCCUCCCAAUUGCCAUGUCAAACCUCUAACCCACCAUGUCCUAGCAAACCGUUGAUUUGCUAUGUUACCGCUUUGCUCAGCCCCUCUUAUAGCGUUGCUAGUUGCAGGUGAAGAUUGGAGAUCGUUCCUUAUUGGAACAUUGUUUAUUGUUGGGAUAUCACCAUAUUAUCUUGUUUAUCUUAAUGCACCUAUAUACUUGGUAAAGGGUGGAAGGCUCGGCCUUUUGCCUAGUGUUUUGUUCCACUCUUGCCACCCUAGUUUCCGUCAUAUCGGUGUUAUGUUCCCGGAUUUUGCGUUCCUUACGCGGUUGGGUUAUAAUGGGAACCCCUUGACAGUUCACCUUGAAUAAAACUCUUCCAGCAAUGCCCAACCUGUCAGUGCUCCUCUGAGUGUUGGUCCAACCUGUCAGCUGUCGGUGGCCGCCAGGGGCAACUCUGGGCUGGCCUACCGGAACCUUGGACAAUCCGGUGUGCCCUGAGAACGAGAUAUGUGCAGCUUCUAUCGGGAUUUGUCGGCACAUUCGGGCGGUGUUGCUAGUUUAGUUUUACCAUUGUCGAGAAUGUCUUGUAACCGGGAUUCCGAGCCUGAUCGGGUUUUCCCGCUAGAAGGAAUAUCCUUCGUUGACCGUGAGAGCUUGUGAUGGGCUAAGUUGGGACACCCCUGCAAGGUUUUGAACUUUCAAAAGCCGUGCCCGCGGUUAUGGGCAAAUGGGAAUUUGUUAAUGUCCGGUUGUAGAUAACAUGAAACUUAACUUAAUUAAAAUGAAUCAACCGCGUGUGUAACCGUGAUGGUCUCUUCUCGGCGGAGUCCGGGAAGUGAACACGGUGUUGGAGUAAUGCUUGAGUAGGUUGUUCUAGGAUCACUUCUUGAUCAUAGUUGUUCGACCGUGCUUUUGCCUUUUCUUCUCGCUCUCUUUUGCGAACAGGUUAGCCACCAUAUAUGCUAGUCGCUUGCUGCAGCUCCACAUAUUACCUUGCCUUACCUAUAAGCUUAAAUAGUCUUGAUCGCGAGGGUGCGAGAUUGCUGAGUCCCCGUGACUCACAGAUUACUUCCAAACCAGAUGCAGGGACCGAUGAUACCGUUCCAGACGAUGCGCUUGAGCUCAAGUGGGAGUUCGAUGAAGACUCUCGUCGUUACUAUGUGUCUUUCCCAGAUGAUCAGUAGAGGUGCCUAGUUGGGGCGAUCGGGGACCGUAUCGCGUGUUGGGGUUGAUCUUUUAUUUUGGUACCGUAGUCGGACCAUGAGUGUAUUGGAUGAUUGUAAUGUUAUUCAUGUAUGUGUGUGACGUGGCGAGUGUAAGCCAACUAUGUACCUUUUCCCCUAUUAUCUAUUUACAUGGGUUGUUGUGAAGAUUACCUUACUUGCGACAUUGCUUUCAAUGCGGUUAUGCCUCUAAGUCGUGCUUCGACACGUAGGAGAUAUAGCCGCAUCGAGGGCGUUACAUCUAAACAGAUAUAAGUGAAGCACUAGAGCAAAAUUAUCUAGCUCAAAAGAUAUAAGUGAAGCACAUAGAGUAUUCUAAUAAAUUCCGAUUCAUGUGUGUCUCUCCCAAAAGGUGUGUACAGCAAGGAUGAUUGUGGUAAACUAAAAAUCAAAGACUCAAAUCAUACAAGACGCUCCAAGCAAAACACAUAUCAUGUGGUGAAUAAAAAUAUAGCCUCAAGUAAAGUUACUGAUAGACGAAGAUGAAAGAGGGGAUGCCUUCCGGGGCAUCCCCAAGCUUAGGCGUUUGGUUGUCCUUGAAUUUUACCUUGGGGUUCCUUGGGCAUCCCCAAGCUUAGUCUCUUGCCACUCCUUAUUCCAAAGUCCAUCAAAUCUUUACCCAAAAACAUGAAAACUUCACAACAGAAAACUCAACAGAAAAUCUCAUGAGCUCCGUUAGUAUAAGAAAACAAACCACCACUUUAAGGUACUGUAAUGAACUCAUUCUUUAUUUAAAUUGGUGUUAAACCUACUGUAUUACAACUUAUCUAUGGUUCAUACCCCCCGAUACUAGCCAUAGAUUCAUCAAAAUAAGCAAACAACACACGAAAAACAGAAUCUGUCAAAAACAGAAUAGUCUGUAGCAAUCUGUAGGUUUCGAAUACUUAUAUGACUCCAAAAAUCUUGAUAAAUUAGGAAGUCCUAAAUAAUUAGUAUAUUGAUCUACUGCAGUUGGAAUUGGUAUUUUAUCGCUCUCUGGUAAAACAGGAAAAUUAUUCUCGUGAGCGCAAACUUUCUGUUUUUUCAGCAAGAUCAAAUAACAAUCACCCAAGAAGAUCCUAAAGGCUUUACUUGGCACAAACACUAAUUAAAACAUAAAAAACACAAUCAUAACAGAGGAUAGAUGAUUCAUUUAUUACUAAACAAGAACAAAAAGCAAGGAGCAAAAAUAAAAUUGGGUUGCCUCCCAACAAGCGCUAUCGUUUAAUGCCCCUAGCUAGGCAUAAAAACAAGAAUAGAUCUAGGUAUUGUCAUCUUUGGUAUGCAAUCAAUAAGUGGCUCUCAUAAUAGAUUCAUAAGGUAAUUUAAUUUAAUUUCUAGGAAAGUGUUCCAUGCCUUUCCUUAAUGGAAAUUGGAAUCUAAUAUUUCCUUCUUUCAUGUCAAUAAUUCCACCAAUCGUUCUAAGGAAAGGUCUACCAAGAAUAAUAAGACAUGUAGGAUUGUAAUCUAUAUCAAGAACGAUGAAAUCUACGGGCACAUAAUUUCUAUUUGCAAUAAUAAUAACAUGAUUAAUCCAUCCCAUGGGUUUCUUAAUGGUGGAAUCCGCAAGAUGCAAAUUUAAAGAACAAUCAUCAAAUUCACGGAAACCUAGCACAUCACACAAAGUUUUUGGAAUUGUGGAAACACUAGCACCCAAAUCACAUAAAGCGUAGCAUUCAUAAUCUAUAAUCUUAAUUUUAAUAGUAGGCUCCCACUCAUCAUCAAGUUUUCUAGGGAUAGAAACUUAUAGUCCAAGCUUUUCUUUAUGGGAUUGCAUUAAAGCAUCAACGAUGUGUUUGGUAAAAGCUUUAUUUUGAUCAUAAGCAUGAGGAGAAUUUAGAACGGAUUGCAACAGGUAAAUACAAUAUAUCAAAGAGCAAUUAUCAUAAUUAAAUUCCUUGAAAUCCAAAAUAGUGGGUUCAUUGCUAUGUAAAGUUUUGACCUCUUCAAUUCCACUUUUACCAAUUUUUGCAUCAAGAUCUAAAAACUCCGAAUCAUUGGGACGCCUUCUAACUAAAGUUGACUCAUCUCCAGUCCCAUCUUUAUCAAGAUUCAUAUUGGAAAACAAAGAUUUAAUAGGAGACACAUCAAUCACUUUUAGAUCUUCAUCAUUACUAUCACGAAAACUAGAAGAACAUGCUUUCGCAAAGCAAUCUUUUUUAGCACGCAUCCUAACGGUUCUUUCUUUGCACUCAUCAAUGGAAAUUCUCAUGGCUUUGAGAGACUCAUUGAUAUCAUGCUUAGGUGAAAUAGAUCUAAGUUUCAAAGAAUCAACAUCAAGAGAAAUUCUAUCCAUGUUCCUAGCCAACUCAUCAAUCUUAAGCAUUUUUUCUUCAAGCAAAGCAUUGAAAUUCUUUUGCGAAUUCAUAAAUUAUUUAACACUAGUCUCAAAAUCAGAGGGCAUCUUAUUAAAAUUUCCAUAAGAUUUGUUGUAGGAAUUGCCAUAAUUAUUAGAGGAAUUACUAGGGAACAGCCUAGAAUUAAAAUUUCCUCUAUACGCGUUGUUACCAAAAUUGUUCCUACCAACAAAAUCCACAUCCAUAGAUUCAUUAUUAUUCUCAAUCAAAGUGAACAAUGGCAUAUCAUUAGGAUCAGAAGAAACACUCUUAUUAGCAAACAACUUCAUAAGUUCAUCCAUCUUUCCACUCAAAACAUUAAUCUCUUCUACCGCAUGAACUUUUUUACUAGUAGAUCUUUUGGUGUGCCAUUGAGAAUAAUUAACCAUAAUAUUAUCUAGGAGUUUAGUAGCUUCUACUAACGUGAUUUCCAUAAAAGUGCCUCCCGCGGCCGAAUCUAAAAGAUUUCUAGAAGCAAAAUUCAAUCCAGCAUAAAAAAUAUGUAUAAUCAUCCAUAAAUUCAAACCAUGUGUAGGGCAGUUACGUAUCAUUAAUUUCAUCCUCUCCCAAGCUUGUGCAACAUGCUCAUGAUCAAGUUGCUUAAAAUUCAUAAUAUCAUUUCUAAGAGAGAUGAUCUUAGCUGGAGGAAAAUACUUAGAGAUAAAAGCAUCUUUGCACUUAUUCCAUGAAUCAAAACUAUUUUUAGGCAAAGAAGAGAACUAAGUUUUAGCACAAUCUCUAAGCGAAAACGGAAAUAGCUUCAAUUUAACAAUAUCAUUAUCCACAUCUUUGUUCUUUUGCAUAUCACAUAAAUCAACAAAGUUGUUUAGAUGGGUAGUGGCAUCUUCACUAGGAAGGCCAGAAAAUUGAUCUUUCAUGACAAGGUUCAGCAAAGCAGUAUUAAUUUCAAAAGAUACAGCAUCGGUAAGAGGAGCAAUCGGAGUGCUAAUAAAAUCAUUGUUGUUGGUAUUUGAGAAGUCACAUAAUGUAGUAUUAUCUUGAACCAUCAUGACAAACAAUCAAUCCAACAUACAAUCACACAAGAGGCAAGCGAAAGAAGGCGAACGGAAAAAGGGCGAACAGAAAAGAGGCGAAUAAAACGGCAAGGGUGAAGUGGGGGAGAGGAAAACGAGAGGCAAAUGGCGAAUAAUGUAAUGCGAGGGAUAAGAUUUGUGAUGGGUACUUGGUAUGUCUUGACUUGAGCGUAGAUCUCCCCGGCAACAGCGCCAGAAAUCCUUUUUGCUACCUCUUGAGCAUGCGUUGGUUUUCCCUUGAAGAGGAAAGGGUGAUGCAACAAAGUAGCGUAAGUAUUUCCCUCAGUUUUUGAGAACCAAGGUAUCAAUCCAGUAGGAGAUCACAUGCAAGUCGCCUAGUACCUUCACAAACAAACAAAAACCUCGCAACCAACGCGAUAAAGGGUUAUCAAUCCCUUCACGAUCACUUACGAAAGUGAGAUAUGAUAAAUAUAAUAAGAUAAAUAUUUUUGGUAUUUUUGUUGUAUAGAUUGAAAAGUAAAGAUUGCAAAAUAAAUAGUAAAUUAGAAUUGUAGAUCGGAAACUUAUAUGAUGUAAAGUAGACCCGGGGGCCAUAGGUUUCACUAGUGGCUUCUCUCAAGAUAGCAUAUAUUACGGUGGGUGAACAAAUUACUGCCGAGCAAUUGAUAGAAAAGCGCAUAGUUAUGGGAAUAUCUAGCCAUGAUCAUAAACAUAGGCAUCACGUCCGUAUCAAGUAGACCGAAAUGAUUCUGCAUCUACUACUAUUACUCCACACAUCGAUCGUUAUCCAUCAUGCAUCUAGAGUAUUAAGUUCAUAAGAACAAAGUAACACAUUAGGCAAGAUGACAUGAUGUAGAGGGAUAAACUCAAGCAAUAUGAUAUAAACCCCAUCUUUUUAUCCUCGAUGUCAACAAUACAAUACGUGUCGGCUCCCUUUGUGUCCUGGGAUCGAGCACUGCAAGAUUGAACCCAAAGCUAAGCACUUCUUCCAUUGCAAGAAAGAUCAAUCUAGUAGGCCAAACUAAACCAAAAAUUCGAAGAUACUUGCAAAGAUAUCAAAUCAUGCAUAUAAGAAUUCAGAGAAGAAUCAAAUAUUGUUCUUAGAUAAUCUUGAUCAUAAACCCACAAUUCAUCAGAUCUCGGCAAACACACCGCAAAAAGAAUUACAUCGAGUCUAUGUCCAAGAACAUCGAGGAGAACUUUGUAUUGAGAACCAAAGAGAGAGAAGAAGCCAUCUAGCUAAUAACUAUGGACCCGAAGGUCUGUGGUAAACUACUCGCACAUGAUCGGAGAGGCUAUGGUUUUGAUGUAGAAGCCCUCCAUGAACGAAUCCCCCUCCGGCAGAUCACCGGAAAAGGCCCCGAGAUGGGAUCUCACAGUACAGAAGGUUGCGUCGGUGGAAAAGUGGUUUCAUGGCUCUCCUAGAUGUUUUUAGGGUAUAAGAGUAUAUAUAGGCGAAAGAAGUAGGUCGGUGGAGCUAUGAGGGGCCCACGAGGAUGGGGGCGCGCCUACCCCCUGGGCGCGCCGCCCUACCUCGUGGCCGCCUCGUUGCUUCCUUGACCUCCACUCCAAGUCUCCUAGAUUGCAUUUGUUCCAAAAAAGAUCCUCACGAAGGUUUCGUUUCCGUUUGGAUUCCGUUUGAUAUUCCUUUUCUGCGAGACACUGAAAUAGGCAAAAAAAAUAGCAACUGGCACUGGGCCUCCGGUUAAUAGGUUAGUCCCUAAAAUAAUAUAAAAGUGCAUAUUAAAGCCUAUUAAAUAUCCAAAACAUAUAAUAUAAUAGCAUGGAACAAUCAAAAAUUAUAGAUAUGUUGGAGACGCAUCACCAAUCUAUCAUUUUACCGAGAGGGAUUGACAACCCCUCUUACGCGUCCCGUUGAAAGUAUUUGUUCUUUGUGUGCAGGUACCGUUUACGUAGUGUUGCUUGGUUCUCCUACUGGUUCGAUAACGUUGGUUUCAUCACUGAGGGGAAUACCUACCAUAGUUGUAUUGUGUCAUCCCUUCCUCUUCGGGGAAAUACUGACGCGGACACGGGCCAUCACGGUGGCGGAAAAAGUAUUUCAUGGACUCUGUGGUAGGUUUUGGUAUUUUAGAGUAUUUAUAUAGGCGGAGGUAGGUCAAAAGGGGGCUCGUGGGCCCCACUACCCACCAGGGCGCGCUAGAGGCCCAUGGCGCACCCUGGUGCUUAGUGGCCCACUUCUCCGUCUUUUGGUGACCUCCCGAAGGUUCCAGGUUCCUUUAUUGCGAGAAAAAAUCUCCAAAAAGUUUUGUGGCAUUUGGACUUCGUUUGGUACUGAUAUUCUACAAAGUCAAAAACAAGAAAAAAUCGGAAACUGGCACUAGGCACUAAGUUAAUAAGUUAGACCCAAAAAUGAUAUAAAGUUGCUUGUAAAUGUAUAUAAAACAUCCAAGAUUGAUAAUAUAAUAGCAUGGAACUAUAAAAAAUUAUAGAUACAUUGGAGACAUUGGAGACGUAUCAAGCAUCCCCAAGCUUAAUUCCUACUCAUCCUCGAGUAGGUAAAUGAUAAAAACAGAAUUUUUCAUGUGGAAUGCUACCCAACAUAGUCAUCAUAUAUUCUUUUCUUUGUAGCAUGGACAUUUGGACUUGUAUGAUUCAAAGAAAUAGUCUAUGAUUUGACAUGAAAACAUCAAUACUCAAGCGUAUCAUCAAGCAACUAUGUCUUUCACCUAGCCCAUUAUGCUCAAUCAUUGAUCCAUUCGUGAAACACACUCAAAUAUUAGCUACAUCCAAUACACAAGUAUGACAAUAGUGUUCCCUAGUUGGUGCUUUAUAAGAGAAGAUGGAGACUCAACAUAAAAAUAAAAAUUGCAUAAAAGUAAAUAUAUAGGCCCUUCGCAGAGGGAAGCAGAGAUUUGUAGAGGUGCUAGAUCUCAUAGCUUAAAUUGAGAGACAAAAUUUGUUUUGAGAGGCAUGCUUUUCCCGUCAACGAAAAUGACCGAGAAUUCGCAAUAUCUUCCAUGCUAGAAAAAUUAUAGGUGGUUCGCAAACAAAACUUAAAGUUUAUUUUCUUUCCACCAUUCUUUCACAAUUCAUGGCUAGUUGUAUCCAGGGGUGCUUUCCAUACCAUCACUUUCCAAUGAAUUUAUUAUCAUAGUAUUUCUUUCAUUUCAUGACCGGACAUCCCUAUUACUUGCCACACUCUCGUGCAAUGACAAGUGAAUAAACAUUCAUCGUGAGAAUAAAAUACCUGGCAUGGAAAAUAUUGGCCACCCCCUGCCGCUUCAUGAGCGGUACAGGCACAUGAAAAGGAAAUUCAUUUUGAAAAUUAGAGUUGGCACAUAGAAAUUUACUUGAAUGGCAUGGAAAUACCGCAUAUGGGAAGAUAUGGUGGACUCAUUUGGCACAACUUUGGUUUUAAGGAAUUGGAUGCACAAGCAGUAUUCCUGCUUAGUACAAGUGAAUGCUAGCAAAUAGAUUGAGAAGCAACCAACCGAAAAACGAAAACGGUCAUAAACGAGCAUUGAACAUAAUUAACACUGAAUAAUGCACCACAAGUAGGAUAUAAUUUCAUCGCAUAACUAUUGAAUUUACGUGCAUGCAUAGGGAAUCACAAACAUUAACACCAAUAUUCUUACUGAAGCAUAAUUACUCACCAACGUGACUCACAUAUCACAAAACUAUUGCAAGGGAUAAAGUUUAUAAUAUGCAAUGAUCUUCAUGAAAGUUUUUAUUAUAUCCCCUUUGGAUAUAUAUCACUUUGGGACCAAAUUCAUAUCUCAUGCAAAUUACCAUUACUAUUCUUAACUCUCAAAAAGAUCUAAGUGAAGCAGAGAGCAUAAAAUAUUUCUUCAAAAAAAUUCAACUCUCAAAAUAAUAUAAGUGAAGCAUGAGAGCAUAUUUCUUUAAAAUUUACCAACUCUCAAAAUAAUAUAAGUGAAGCAAGAGAGUUUAUUUCUUUAAAAUAUAACCGCCGCCGUGAUCAAAAAGAUUUAAGUGAAGUACCAGAGCAACUGCCUAGCUCAAAAGAUGUAAGUGAAGCACAUAGAUUAUUCUAGCAAAUCAUGAUAUUUGUGUGGCUCUCUCAAACAAGUGUGUUCAGCAAGGAUGAUUGUGACAAACUAAAAAGAAAACAAGGAAAACACUCAUAUAAUACAAGAUGCUCCAAGAAAAACUCAUGAUAUGUGGCGAAUAAAAAUAUAUCUCCAAUUAAAAUUAUCGAUGGUCGUUAGAAGAAAGAGGGGAUGCCUUCCGGGGCAUCCCCAGGCUUAGUUGCUUGGGAGUCCUUGAACAUUACCAUGGGGUGCCUCACGCAUCCCCAAGAUUAGGCUCUUGCCACUCCUUAUUCCUUCAUCCAUCGUGAUCUCGCGCAAAACUUGAAAACUUCAAUCACACAAAACUUAACAAAACCUCGUGAGGUCUAUUUGUAUAAUAAAGCAAAUCACCACUUUAAGUACUAUUUCAAACCCAUUCAUAUUUUGUUAUUGCAUUGUACCUACUGUAUUCUAACUUUACCAUGGCUUAUACCCCCCAUACAAUCCAUAGAUUCAUCAAAAUAAGCACACAAUGCAACGAAAACAGAAUCUGUCAAAAACAGAGCAGUGUGUGGUAAUCUGAACUUUGACCAUACUUCUGUAACUCCAAAACUUGUGAAAAAAUAUAAAACAUGGGAAAUUUGUAUAUCAAUCAUGUGUAAAAAAUUAGAAUUUUAUCACGUUCCAGCAUAGCACAUUAAUUCUGCUACUGGGCGCAAAAGUUUCUGUUAAUGCACAAAAUCAAAGCAACUAUCACCCAAAUCAUCCCAAAGGCUUUACUUGGCACAAACACUAAUUAAAACACUAAAACAAAAUCAUAAAAGUAGCAUAAUUUUGUAAAAUCAUAAAAAAUAAAAGAAAAAUAUUGGGUUAUCUCCCAACAAGCACUUUUCUUUAAAGCCUUUUAGCUAGGCUUUGAUAAUUUUAAUUAUGCUUGCAUGAAAGACAAGAAUUGAAGCACAAAGAAAGAAUCACAUAGCAUGUGAAAAUCACAUUUAAGUCUAACAUACUUCCUAUGCAUAGGCAUUUUAUAAGUAAACAAAUUAUCAAAAGAAGCAAAAAACUAGCAUAUUCAAGGAAGAAGAAUAAAACAUUGACAAUCUCAACAUGAAGAGAGGUAAUUUAGUAACAUGAAAAUUUCUACAACCAUAUUUCCCUCUCUCAUAAUAGUUACAUGUGGGAUCAUAUUCAUAGUCAACAAUAUAUCUAUCACAUAACAUAUUCUCUACAUGAUCCACAUGCAUGCAAAGUUGACACUCUUCCAAAAUAGUGGGAUUAUCAUUAUAUAAAGUCGUGACCACUUCAAGCCCACUUUUGUCAAAAAUUUCAUAGGAUUGAUCAUUCUCCAAAGUAGUGGGAUCAUUAUUACCUAAAAUUGCAACUCUUCCAAACCCACUUUCAAUAUUAUUGCAAACACUAUUAUCAAUAUCAUAUUCAUCAUGAGGCUUAAAUAAAUUUUAAAGAUCACAAGAAGAAUCACCCCAAUCAUGAUCAAUGCAAUAAUUAGUGGACAUAGCAAAAUUAGCAUCCCCAAGCUUGGGGUUUCGCGUAUUAUUAACAUGAUUGACAUUAAUAGAAUUUAUAGUAACAUCAUUGCAAUCAUGCUUUUCAUUCAAGGAGCUAUCGUCAACCACUUUAUAAAUUUCUUCUUUUAACACUUCAUCACAAUUUUCAGAUUCAUGACUUUCAAGCAAAACUUCAUAAAGAUAAUCAAGUGCACUCAACGCACUAGCAAUUGGUUCAUCAUAAUUGGAUCUUUUAAAAAUAUUAGCAAGUGGAUGAGGAUCCAUUAGCUUUUUGUUUCCUUAUUUUCAAUAAACACACAAAACAAGCAAAGCGACAAAGUAAAAUAUUUUUGUGUUUUUCCAUAAAACGUUUUAGAAGUGGGGGAGAUGAAAACGAGAGGCAAAUGGCAAAUAAUGUAAAUGUCAGGAGAUAAAAGUUCAUGCGUAGGUACUUGAUAGAUGUUGAUGAUGUCUCCCCGGCAAUAGCGCCAGAUAUUCUACAUAAUUUUCUAAUCAAAUUUCAUAUAUAUCAUGUUACAAUUCGAGUUAGGGUGUAAAAAAUUAUGGAUAUUUAAAAAAAUCAUGUUUGUACUUAAAAGUGGACUGCGGGUUAAUUACCAGAAAUUAUAGGGUGUUUUCUAUAAAAACAAAAAACAAUUCAUUUUGUCAGCUAAAGUUGACUGCAGGUUAAUUACCAGAACUCCAGGGUUUCUUUUGUAAAAACAAAAAAAUGAUUCAUUUUUUCAUAAAGAUGUACUGUGGGUUGAUUCUUGCAAAUGUAAGGGUGUUUUCUGUAAAAAUGCAUGAAGGACAGGUAGGAGCACUAAUACCUUUAUUAGGGCAUCUCCAACGUCGACUCUCAAGCCUCCCGCAACCUUCUGACCACGGAAGCCAUCCAAUGCGGUCUUGUAUCGAUCUGCGACAUGGUCCGGACGCGCUUUCUCCCGCAAACCAGAGACAAACCUGAGGGAGCUUUGCAGGAGUCCGGACCGCUGUCACACCCUCUUCUGACCGCCCUAGCCCACCCAAACCACUCCUCCCUUUCCUGUGCAUGUUCCCGCGUGGCACCAGAUGCCCGCAUUCAUGCCAUUGUAGAGCGCGUCGCUCCACAUUGAAGGCGGCUCUUCUUGAUAACCCACAAGUAUAGGGGAUCGCAAUAGUUUUUGAGGACAGAGUAUUCAAUCCAAAUUUAUUGAUUCGACACAAGGGGAGCCAAAGAAUAUUUGCAAGUAUUAACAGUUGAGUUGUCAAUUCAACCACACCUGGAGACUAAAUAUUUGCAGCAUACUGAUUAGUAGCACAAUAGUAUGGUAGUUUGAUAGUGAUACCAGUAAUAGUAACAGUAACGGUAACAGUAGUAGCGAUAGUUUUGUAGCAAUUGUGACAGUAGAGAUCAACAUGUGAAAAGCUCGUAGGCAUUAGAUCGGUGAUUAUGUUGGAUAACAUUCAUCAUGUAACAGUCAUAACCUAGGGCGACACAGAACUAGCUCCAAUUCAUCAAUGUAAUGUAGGCAUGUAUUCCGUAUAUAGUCAUACGUGCUUAUGGAAAAAAAAUUGCAUGACAUCUUUUGUCCUACCCUCCCGUGGCAGCCGGGUGCCCUACCGAGCCGGCCAGAUGCGACUGAGGAAGCUCGUUGCUCCACCUCCCUCGCCUAGCCCAAUGGAUCUAGUUGCCGCCCUAAGCCGGCGCGUGGCUCAACAAUUCGUCGCUCCAAGCCAGCUCGAGGAGGAGUGGUGAGUUGUUCCACGCCGACAUGGCCUGGAGCACGGUGUCAUGGGCAUCGUCGCUGCCAUCGAUGAUACCACGUCAUCCUGCGCCUACAACCGUGCCUCCUGUGUCUACGACUGCGCACUCCCGUGCCUGCGGCCAUGCCAUGGAAGCACAGACAAAAUCCGGGUGUCCAGAGAUAAAUGAGUCGGUGGUGAGCGUGUCUGCGUCCGCCGCCAUCAUCGAAGAGAAGUAGAACACGGGAGGCCGCCGUCGCUUUUGUAUCCCAUGAGGGCCACCGCCAAGGCAACGUUGUGCUCGGUUCUUCUUCAGCGCGGACCAGCGUCGACCCCACAUGGGCUCCACGGAAAGGGAAGCGAGUCGUCCUUUGCGUUGAAGCAUAUACCUCCGAGGGCUCCCAACAGUCCGGUGAUCGGGCUGCCAGACAUGAGGAAGACAAAGUGAUCCACUGGCGACCAUUUAGAUUAGGUAUUAAUUAUACCUCCAAAGUCGGACUAGCACCGCUUGGUUGAUGUAAAUAUAAUGAAAUUCGUCAUGUUCAUAUGAAAUCCGGUCGUGUUUGCACGAAUUUUGUCCGGUUGGUUCGAACUGUUGUAAAAAUGUAUGCGGCUAUGGUUGGAUGGCGUUCUCCCGCAUACGUGUCCGCAGACUGGUCCCCCCUAUCCGCAGACAGAUGUGGGUCCACCGUCGUGUCACGUCUUUUUGCAUAAAACACCCCACUCUUUUUUAAAAUCAACCCACAUCCCGGUUUAAGUGAUUCCAAAGAUAAUGUUUCACCGUUUGCAGAAAAAACGCUGCAUUUUCCUCAAAUAAACCCGCAGCCCAGGUUUAAGUUACUCCAGAAAAAUUGUUCGUUGUUUGCGAAAAACACCCCGACAUUUGGUUUAAUUAACCCGAAGUACAUAUCAUACGUUUUUUGAAAUAGUCGUAUCUUCUAAACCAUAACUCCAAUUUUAAUAUAUUAUAUAUGAUAUUUGAUUAAAAAAUUGUAGAAUCUCAAGAUGAUGUUAUCUUACCUGUUAACCAUUUAAAAAUGUUAUUUAGGGUGUUGCCUUAAUCAACAGUGCACGAUCCGCCUCUCUUUUGUAUGGAUGUAGAUCCGGAUUAAAGAUGAACACCUUAGUAAAAUUAGAUUGGACAUGAAAUAAAUCAUCUGUAACAACGUAUGGAUGCGUCAGCAAAACCUCGCACGGGAAAAAGGGAAGCAAAUUUCUUGUCUUAUGCGGAGAGAGAGACGCCUUAGGAUUGAUCACAUUCAAAUGUGUUAUGAUUGUGUGAGCACUGAGGCCACUGUCGGCGAAUGUAGGAGGAGGAUAAGUGGCGACACAUAUGGGAUGUCGUGUUCAAAUAAAUAACAUGGACCUACUGGGGCCUUGAGCCACAAUAAAUAACAUGGAUCUAGUGAGGUCUUGAGUCAUACUUAUUGGUUAGGGGCAUCCAUUAUUUUUUCUUUCCAUAGCAAUUGCAUGAGCUCUUUUUCUACUCUCUUCGUUUCUAAAUAUUUGUCUUUUUAGAGAUUUCAACAAGUGGCUAAAUACAGAGCAAAAUGAGUGAAUCUACACUCUAAAAUAUGUCUAUAUACAUCCGUAUGUAGUAGCAGUUAUUGGUUAGGGGCAUCUGUUAUUUUUUCUUUCCAUUGCAAUCGCAUGAGCUCAUCUAAUACAACUAUUGAAUGCGCUUUGAAUUGCACUUCUGCUCGUAACCACUACGAACCGGAAAGGAAGGAAGCAGCUUUAGAGGAGGGAUGUCGUCAAACAAAGGAUUUUUUAUAUGCUAAAGAUACCGCGGGUCGGACACAAAGUAAAAAUCCGAGCUCUUUCAGAGUGGUAUCUCACUGAUGGCUCGGGCCCCUUCGGAAGGGGGCCUUCUUCGCCUUCCAUCUAAGCUGCACAGGAAAGGCCCAAAGCCAAUCCCAGAGAAUAGUAAAGCUUCAUAGGCCGACCACUACAUAAGCCGCUCUCGAAGAAAGCUCGAAGAGCUUCCCUUCAUUCGCUUCGCGGGAGUCGCACACAACACAUAGUUGGAAGUCAGAGGGCCCGUACUACCUGCCUAACCCUUCGCUCUAAGGGACCGUAGAAUGGAAAGCGCCUUCUAAACAACUCGGCAGAAGGGAAGGGGCCUACGGUGAACACCCAUUUGCAUCCAACUGCUCUUUUUCCUGCUAGGAGUGGAAGAAGAUCCCACGUCUUGUUCUUCUAGGAGUGGAAGAAGAUCCCACGUCUUGUUCUUCUGAUGUGCACCAAGCUCCUCCUUCAUUGCGUCUUUCUUUCCACCAGCCUUUCGCCCAUUAAUGCGGUACAUGAGCUGGGUUCAGAACACUGUGAAACAGUUCGGUCCAUAUCCGGUAUGGGAGUUAAAGCAUUGAGAGGACCGGGAAGCGAUCCCCAGGGAAGGAAGCCAAUAAUGAGAGUGUCAGGGCGGAACUUCAUUAAUGAAAGGAUUUGCACUGCCUCACCAUGCCGCAGGAUUUGCACUGCCUCACCAUGCCGCAGGGACGAACUUCAAAUUUUCUACUCCCUCCGUUUUUAAAUAUUUGUCUUUUUAGAGAUUUCAACAAAUGACUACAUACGGCGCAAAAUGAGUGAAUUUACACUUUAAAAUAUAUCUAUAUAUAUAUAUAUAUAUAUCUAUAUGUGGUAGUCCAUUUAAAAUCUCAAAAAGACAAAUAUUUAGGAACGGAGGGAGUAGUAUAUAAUAAGUGGACAGAGAUAGAAAUAUUUUUUUACGUGCGGUAGUAUAUUACUGACCCACCGCCCCAACUGAAACCAACAGUCAGCCAUUGUUUCGAUGGGCCGGGAUCAAGCAGAAGCCACACGUCGAUGAUUUGGUCCAACAGCACAAGAGGAGCCACACCACAGAAACUGCCCAGCCAAGGAAGGAUUCUCUCCUCCACAGACCGCAAUCCACUUUCAACUGAUCCACAUAUCUUUCAACCGAUCCACAUAUCUUUCAACCGAUCCACAUAUCCAUACGUGAAUUCAUUGGUGUGCAAUUAAGAGCACGGCAGCACCACAAAUCACAAAAGCAGCACCAGCCAGCCAAGUGCACCUGAAUUCGUUUCAUUCUCCAUCCACACACAAACAAAAGAAAAAGGCGGCGAAAAAAAUAGAACUGUAAAUGUGAACCACAAGAAGUGGAAAGGAAGAGCACAAAGCUGAGAUCCAAUUCUGCACACGUGAAAUUAAAAGCCACAACACAAAGGGCCAAACCACAUGAAGCAAUGAAUGGCUGCACAUGACAAGGUUUUAAGCCAGUAAUGGCCCCCUCUUUCCUGCUAAGAAAGCAGGCCAGGCCACCGCAUGUUCUCCAGGUACAUGAUCAUGUUCCUGCCUUGAUCGUGCAUUCAGUGAACUGGAGCACCAACGUGCCAUGUUUGCGCAAGUACUGGGAAGGUAAAAAAUACUGGGGGCCAACAUUAGAAACAGGAAUCAUGAAUCAAAUUGGCAGCCCAAAAGAUUACACAUCGCAGAAGUGAAUGUACAUAAGGAAAUGAUUAUGGGACUCGCACGGAAAACUCUUACAAANNNNNNNNNNNNNNNNNNNNNNNNNNNNNNNNNNNNNNNNNNNNNNNNNNNNNNNNNNNNNNNNNNNNNNNNNNNNNNNNNNNNNNNNNNNNNNNNNNNNNNNNNNNNNNNNNNNNNNNNNNNNNNNNNNNNNNNNNNNNNNNNNNNNNNNNNNNNNNNNNNNNNNNNNNNNNNNNNNNNNNNNNNNNNNNNNNNNNNNNNNNNNNNNNNNNNNNNNNNNNNNNNNNNNNNNNNNNNNNNNNNNNNNNNNNNNNNNNNNNNNNNNNNNNNNNNNNNNNNNNNNNNNNNNNNNNNNNNNNNNNNNNNNNNNNNNNNNNNNNNNNNNNNNNNAUAAAAACCCGGAACAUGCGGCAUAUGAUUCAGCACCGGUCAAAUAUAGCAGCCCACUGAACAUAUUACGAGUCUACAAGGUACACAAUUUUGACCCAACAAAUUAAUCCGGCAAUACAGUCAACAGAAUCCCAGCAAUCUCAAACAUAGUAGCUUACACGGCAAGGACUUGAGAAAAGAACAGCCAGAAUAGAUUCAGAAGACCCAGACAACUCGCAACUUAGAAGCACUUCCGGUGGACAAUCGCUGGACCUGACUCGUCAUACUCGCCCUUCGAGAUCCACAUCUGUAGCAUAAAAAUCAGAACACAUGGUUAGUACAGCAAAUAGGGAGUGUAUUUACUGUAACUACUGCAAUGAUAUUAGGAUGUAUGAUCGCUAUUUAAGCGAAAGAAAGGCGCAAGAUUCACCUGUUGGAAGGUACUAAGGGAGGCAAGAAUCGACCCUCCAAUCCAGACACUGUACUUCCUCUCAGGCGGUGCCACCACCUUGAUCUUCAUGCUGCUUGGUGCAAGGGCAGUGAUCUCCUUGC